UUCAGGAGCACAUCAGAUCAAAUAAACGGCAAUGUGGACUACACCUUCCAAGAUGGAGAUGAGAUACAACCAGUCAGCUUCCUCAAUGAGCUUCGUAAACAAAUGGGUCUGACCACUACAACGUUGUCUCCACUUUCAACAAGCAGCUUCCCUGUGACUUCUUUCCAGCAAAUAUCUGGUUCAGCAGAGGUAACAAGCAAACUGGUGUUCAACUCCUCAUCUCCAGUCCCCAGUGAAGCUUUGGUGCUCAGUGCUAUCAACAUUCUCCUGGAAUCCAGAGUUUCACAACUGAAAGAAACAGUCAAGCUAGUGAAUGUCAGCU